rnacentral:lncRNA from 1 species
CUUAUUAGUCAGUGCUACACCAUAGGAAUGGAAUUUGCAGUUGACAGAAGGAGUCCUGUAUUCCAGCCAUCUGUUCAGGAACCCCCUGACAGCGGCACUUGUUUGGUAGCAAAGUCCUCACUUGUGGCCCAGCCACCCAUCUAUUUGUGCUACCACAUAAGAAACAAAAGCCCUCUCCUCAGCAUCCUGCACCAUCCGGCUGUUUUGCUAUUAUUAGGCUUAUGAGGUCAGAGGACCUCAGUAGAAGCGGAGUCAUACAGCUCAGGACCAGAGGACACAGGAAGCUGGCUCCCUGGGUUUCUUCCUGUUUUAUGGCUCUCUCUUAGAUGUGAAGAGUCAUAUAGGUGAUGUGGCCGCCAACAGGAGAACGGGGAUGGGAGAACGUGUGAAAAAUAUCCACGGAGGUUGUGAAGACCAAAUCCAUCCCUUAUUCUGAUUUGAGUUGCUUUACUCUUGAGCUGUCACUCCAUCGGGGCUAACCUACCAGCUUCCAUUUACUUGGUACAAGGACUUCAGAAGGAGACCCAAUACGACAGGUGCUCGAUUAUUCAGAAACAGCUAUCGCUGACGGACACUCCUGAGCCGGUCAACAGCUCUGCCAAAUGACUACAGAUGUUGACAUGUUGAAAACAUUUGCAGACUACAUGAACCUGGAACUGAGUUGCUGGAAUCAGCCACGAGAGCCCGAGAAGAAUGGAGAUGGCUUGUGAUUUCUCUCAUGAGACAGAGACCUUGCUCUUCUUCUAUUUCUAGAAAGUGACUUGCUCUGGCUUCCAGGGAAGCUUCUCCUUGGAGAUCUUCGCCGAGGAAGAGGAUGCCUCCUAUAGCAAUCAUCUAGAGGACGACAAACCCAAGAGGGAGGUGGGCCACAAUUCCGACUUCUUUUUCCAUCAUUCGACAGUUCCACUCUUAUGUGGCAGCCUUGUAGUGUUCUUCCAUCUACCUCUUGGACCAAGUCACCAGCAUCUCAGGGAUCCUCAAAAGCAAAGCCA